AGUUGGGUGCGAGAGACGAUGGAGUGGAUAAGGUUUCACCUGAGGGUCUCAGCCAUUCCUCAGUGCUCUGAGGAUCCUGCCUACAUCCCCUGGAAAAUAACAUGUGGGCAGGAGAUAAAGUUAAGAAGAACAGAGAAUCUGCUAAUGGGUAGUUACUGGUGAAGACAAGGAGGUGGUCUGCAGGGCAUCCAGCUCCAAUGCUGGGUGGUGGUGUGGGGGUUAGAGGAGAGCUUUUACCAUGGAGGAUUGUAUUUGAAACUGAUGCAGCUAUACCUGGAAAAGAUUUCAUGGACUUCUGAGGGGCUUUGGCCCUGUCUGGAGUGCUUUGGGUUGCACUUGCAGAAGAGAAAAGGUCCUAGGGUCUUCUGAACAGGAGCUGUCCCAGGACUGAGAGGGGAAAGUUAAGAAGAGAUGCCUUGGAUUUCAGCUAAUGGAUAGAGCAAGACAAGGUCUUGCAGCCGGAAGGAUUUUGCUCACAAACAAUAAUGAAGAGGAGGGAUGCGGAGAAGGAAAUGAAAAAUGUGUCAUUAACCAUUCCUCCAAAAACAAGAGGGAUGCAAUUAGUGCAAAUGGGAGAGAGGAAAAAUGGAAGAAGAUAUCCAAGAUCUUCAUUUUUAGGACAGUGGCACUGGGGAAAUGACGAGUCAAGAGGUCCUUGACCUUUUUGUUCCUGAUGCUUGGCAGCUGUGUCACUGGGUAAUGAUUGACUCCUCCUACACUCCUGCUGCCCUCUCUCUGCUGUCCUCAUGCCAGGCAGGCACUGCCAUCCUCUCUUUGGUUCCAAGUGUCUUUUUCUAACAAAUGUCUUCAUUUGCAGAAAUCGUCCUCCUCCAGAUUAUGUCCUUCUGGACUCAAAAGGAAGAGCCACAUCUCUUCUGGGGGGGAAUCCAAAAAGCCAGCUUGGCAGAAAUAUGUGAUGUCAGGCAUCUGGAAAAUGGUAUUACCCAAAAUAAUUGGAAAAGCUAUUAUAAAGGUGAAAGAGCUAAAUAUUUCUGCAAUACAAAUUAUCGUACUGACAAUGAGGAUGGUGAAAUUAUGUGCACAAAGAGUGGCUGGUCACCUACUCCAAGAUGUAUCCAUAAAGACUACGUCACAUUUCAAAGAGAAUUCAUUUCCACUACAUGCUCGAGCAGGUUGGAGUAAGGGACCGUCUACACGCGAGACAAACUGCCUCUUGUGUAGUGUUUCCUCCUGCAGUGUGGUAUCCCUCAUCCCAUUUAUACAGCAGCACUUCAUUCACUCGGAGCUAUCGCUGGGUUGUGAAGUAGUUGCCAUGAUGUAACUCAGGUACGGGAAGGACAGUGGAAUUUUAUGAACAUAUAUGAAAUGAGAAGGAAAGAAACAAUCCUACCAACUUUCUUAGUACAGCUUGCUUGGGAAGACCAUCCACCUGAUUGACAUUGUACUGUAUCUUCAGUACCACCUCUGGGAGCUCGGCAGCCUUGAUUACAUUUGUGCUGUAGUUUCUCGUGUAUUUUGAAGUACAUUUCUGUACCGUAAAAAAUGCCAUGUUCCAGAAGAGGCUGAUUGCAUUUUUCUAAAUGAAAAAAGACAGUUUGGUUAGGAAGAAAUAAUCGAUGUAAUAUUUUUCCUGAUAGGCAAGAAAGUGGGGUUUUUAAAUUAUUUCCAUCCAAUUUCAUUUUCUUGUUUUGUUGAAAUGCUCCCGCAAUCAUUGAGCAGACAGUAGUACCAUGGAAUAUGUCUCUGGAGCUAAAGAGGCUCAGAUGCACAUCUGUAACUAAAAUGUCAAUUAUUUUUCCCAAGUUCAGUUACACUGGGCAGCUUUCUUGGAAUUCUUAAAAAGCAUAUGUGGUAAGAGUCCUUAGAACAUAUACUAGCAUAAAACAAUUCGAUGUAUGAAUAAACAUAAUGGAUUUGACCUUGACCUAGCUUACACAUUUUUAUCCCUACUGUUCUGCACCUUUUGUCCCUCUAUGCUUAAGGAAAUUGAGCUAAAACAGUUUUCUGCUAGAAGCAAUAAUGAAAUAAAGAAGCGAACUCACUGUAGCGUUGUGGCA